CUCGCAUGACGUCUCGAUCGAUCAAAGCGCUUAAUCCUGCGGGUGGGGUGUUUAAUCAGAACUGCACACGAUGAGCGCAUUUGGGUGAAUGCAUUCUCUUAUCGGGCUUGCAAGAUUGUACAUAUGCAAUAAACUUCUUAACCAUCUUCUGGUUUACCCAGCUGCAUGAGAAGCGAUAAGCUCGUUCCCACUUUGAACCAUCAUGAAAUACACGAGGUAGACUUCUUGUAGGACAAACACGCAAUUUAAUCGCCUCGCUGAGGGUUAAGGCCUUUGUCGGGCGGUCGUUUCGAGACGUGAAGGAAGUAAAGGAAUAGGAAAUAUAUUGUGCGGUACUACCGUUGCGUGGAUUACCUUGAUGCUUUACGCAAUUGCAAUUAAGAGAUGCACGACGUUAGUCUAUCAAGUGCUCAAGUGCUAUUAAACGUAGGGUACGGUGGGGCAAAAGUGCUCGUUUGACUCAAUGAGAUAGUUGGUUGUUAUGAGAAAAAGCGAAAAAAAUAAGAUAAUGGAGACCGGCGACGAAGGCCGCGGGAUGGUACAUAUAGACAAAUAGCGGCGAGCAAAUCGGAAACAUCAAUAGAGGAAACAAGUAACCCGCCGAUGAAACAUGCUUGGCUUACAUGACGUCGAUGGCUUAGUGACGGCAAAUUAAACUACUGCAAUCGCGAUUCAUAGGGAGGUAGUUGUGUAGAGCGAAAUUACGUCGAUAUGCAACCCUGGUUAAAUGUCUUGGAAUAUUUUCUAAUCUAGUGCAUCCCUCAAUACUAGAGGGACUGAAAUAAUGCUAGCAUAUUCCAAAAUUUGACGAACAACAUUGGACGAGCCGCAGAGAGUUCUUAAGCAGGAAAGAUCUCUAAAAUCAGACGAAAAUCAGUGCUUUUACAUAUUUUUUACAUAUUUAAAACGUACUCGCAAAUGACUGUCAAAAUUCAAUAAACUUUUCCAUUGUUUACCUCA